AAUUAGAUUAAAUCAAGAUUUUUCUAGAUCCAAUAUAAUAGCUGUAGUUAGUCAAGUUCAUAUCUUUGAUUAGACCAUAUAGACCUUAAUUUUGGCUUAGUGGUCGAGUCUGAGUCAUUAGAUUGAUCAAAUUGAAACUAAUUAACCAGCUGGUGUCUAAGGUAAGUUUGGCAGUCUUGACCGAUGGUCAUUAAUUGAGAGCUACUCACCUAGAUUGAGUCUAUCGUGAGUUAAUGGCAUAUCCCUCCCAUCGAUCUCGCUUACCUGACUAAUAUGAUAAAUUAUAUUUUGAUUAGAUCACUAAGUGAUUCGAGUUGACCCAUGC
rnacentral:lncRNA from 1 species